AACGCGAAGAACCUUACCUACCCUUGACAUCCUCGGAAUCCGGCAGAGAUGCUGGAGUGCCUUCGGGAACCGAGAGACAGGUGCUGCAUGGCUGUCGUCAGCUCGUGUCGUGAGAUGUUGGGUUAAGUCCCGUAACGAGCGCAACCCCUAUUCUUAGUUGCCAACAGGUGAAGCUGGGAACUCUAAGGAUACUGCCGGUGAUAAGCCGGAGGAAGGUGGGGACGAGGUCAAGUCAUCAUGGCCCUUACGGGUAGGGCUACACACGUGCUACAAUGGGCGGUACAGAGGGAAGCGAAGCCGUGAGGUGAAGCGAAUCUCACUAAAGCCGCUCGUAGUCCGGAUUGGAGUCUGCAACUCGACUCCAUGAAGUUGGAAUCGCUAGUAAUCGCGGAUCAGAACGCCGCGGUGAAUACGUUCCCGGGCCUUGUACACACCGACAUA
rnacentral:rRNA from 1 species